GACAGAGGGUGCAAACGUUGUUCGGAAUUACUGGGCGUAAAGCGCGUGUAGGCGGCUAAGUAAGUCGGGCGUGAAAUCCCACGGCUCAACCCGUGGAAGUGCACUCGAAACUGCGUAGCUAGAGUCCUGGAGAGGAAGGUGGAAUGCUUGGUGUAGAGGUGAAAUUCGUAGAUAUCAAGCGGAACACCGGUGGCGAAGGCGGCCUCUGGACAGUGACUGACGCUGAGACGCGAAAGCGGUGGGGAGCAAACGGG
rnacentral:rRNA from 1 species